AAAUGAUCUGAUACCUCUUAUCACGGAGCACUGAAAAAUAAAGAGUAUUCACAGUCUACCUUGGAAAAGGAGAAGUUUACAACAUGAUCAACAUGAACAUUUAAAGCUAGAAGAGACCAUUUUGACUACCAUUUACCCAAGAAUUUAUUGACUGAGCAGAGCCAGCACAGGAGGAACAGUAUUCUGAAGGUGGUAUAGACC